AGAUUUUGUUUGGUUUUCAAAGCUAGCUUUCCAUUUUAGGAGAGCUUUUGCCUCUUCAGUAGCAGAGGCAGAAGCAACAACACAUAAGAACUGGACAACAAGGAGAACGGUGAAGUUUAUCGAAUUUAAUGUGGGAAAUUGCAGUCCAACACUUUCCAAGGGUGCCGGAAUUUGGAAUUGGAACUUGGAAGUUGCAUUGGAAGAGUUGAUUAGUUGGAGGAGGUAAGAAGCUUGGGAUAGGAUUUCUUCCUUGCGAUCACGCCAACUCGGAAGAAAGAUACUUGUUACCUAUCUCACCUCCUUUGAUUAGAAAGAUCGGCUUAAGGCUUGAGAUAGAAGAAAGGCACUUUUUGUUGAUCUUUGAAGGGACACUGCCUGAGUUGAUAAUCAAUCUAUCGCUCAAAUUCUUCCACAGCUGAUGAUCAAAUUUAUUUGAGCAAAAAUUGUUUUCUCAAUAAUUCAUUUUUUUCUGUUUUUGUAAAUAGUCAUCCAGCCUACUAAAAAUCACAUCAGCGUGAAAAGAAAUGGACAAGUUAGAAUC